CAGGAUCAUCUACAACAAUCUCCAUGGCAACAGCAGGAGGUCAGGUCGCCACUCUGCAGGGCCUGGGUCCCACCUGAGGAAGAGUCAAGAGUCGUUCAGUAUCCAGGCCGACAAGAAGGAGAAGACCAGACACAACCACUUCAUCAAGACAGCACAGCCAUACAAACCCAAGUUGGAGUCGGCGACAGACCAGUCCAAGAAAA